GUCUGCGCCUAUGCCACCAUGAACAAGCCUGAUUCCAUCUGAUCUCGGAAGCUAAGCAUGGUCUGGCCUUGUUAGUACUUGGAUGGGAGACCACCUAGGGAAACCAGGUGCUGUAGGCA
ensembl:rRNA 5S_rRNA 5S ribosomal RNA